CACAGCACUUAGUAAGCUGGAAGAAUUAGACUCCCUCUUACAAAACAGUCUAAAGGGACUCUCAGAACUGGAUGUACAGGGCUCUCCAGGAAACCAUACCAGAACAUGGACUGGCUUUAGAAAGUGUGGCUUAUCUUACUUUCCAGGUGCCUUGUUUACCCGGACUGCGGAUGAACAAGGGCCUCCCUUUUCCAAGACUCUGCAUCAUGGGGAGUAAUGAAGAGGACUUGUCAUUGCCUCCAGCUGCCAUUUAAAGCUGUCUCUGCCCUCUGCAGAAAACAGUGGAGAUGUUUUCCAAAGAAAAUUUCUUCAAGAUUUGAGUCUGGGUGCCAGAAGAAUACUUCUCUAAACUGCAAGAUAAUCUGUAAUGCAUCUUGGCCUUGAGCAGCAAACUUCAGAGUUUGUCUGUAUUAUGGAUUUUGAAGACAAAAUGAAAAUUGUCGUUCAUUGGUUUAUUCCCAAGAUUAUGUUUCAGCAGCUCUUCUCUGAAGCUGUAAGAUCAGCUUCCAGUUUCAGUUAUUUCACUGUCAGGAGCACAGCAUUAUUUGGAGAAUUGCUGAUGACAGACUCACAUUUGCUGUUUUGGCUUCCAUUAUGAAAAAACCACAAAGGAAAAGCUAUGUAGCAAACUACUUUGGCUUGCCAUUUGUUAAAAUGAAUGCAGAUUCUUCUGCUGUACUGGGACCACCUCUGCAAUUAAAAAAAACCCCAUAAAUAUUCCCUGCAGCAUACUAAGAAAUUCUCCUGAAGUCAAACAGGAAGCUCCAAGACCUUCAGAAGGCAGGCAUUGCCUGUCCUCUAUUAUGACUGUAAAGAAAAGAAGUUUUGAUUCCCUUCAGCAACAGAAUGUGAUCAACAAGGAUGCAACAAGCAACAGUUUAUUUGUAGAAAAAAUCCUUUAAAAUUUACUACAAUGUAAGAUUAAGGAAAAAAUAGUCUUAAUAUAUAUACAUACAAUAUAUAUAAACAAACACAUAUCGCACCAUGAAAAUUACAUGCUUUUAAGAAUAGAGAAUGGAUUAUAUUCCCUCAUAUCACUUUAAAAGUUAUCACUGCAAGGAACCUUGCUUCCUUUUUUUUUUUUUUUAUCCCCAUCAAAGUGUUCAAGUACAGGAAGUAAGUAAUGCAGGAUCUAAUAAUAGAAAACCUUUGUUACACAAAUUACAACUGACAGCUAGACAAUAUUAUUCUGCAGUAUCCAACACGCGUAUUUUUUGAACUCUAUUAUAAUGAAAAGAACUUUUACCUGAGGUGCAUGGAAAUAACAAAGCAUGAUAAUUGGCAAGUUUAAGAGAUUUCACAUUAUGAUUUGACUGUAAUUGAAAUUGAUUAGGUAUCACACCUAUACCUAUAGUACUGGCACAAGAAUGCUCUGCGUGAGUCAUCACCAAUGACUUGGAAGUGCAGGAAAAAUUAACAGGCAAGCACCACUUGCAAUGAUAAGCAUGCAGACAAUUUAAGUGAAACAGAGGUAGCAUGUUCUUGUAACUCCAGCAGGGUCAUUCAAAUCAACUGCACCCUCCCUCCUGCAAAAGGCACUCACUUUUUCAGCUAAAAAUGAUGCACUUAAGUUUGGUCAGAUUGACCACAAAUGGUGGAUUUCUCUCCUUACAAAUAUAAAAAGAAGUUAAGCAGAGGACACAGUGAAAAGGAAAAAAAAAAAAAGAAU